ACGAACGCUGGCGGCGCGCCUCACACAUGCAAGUCGAACGCGCGAGAGAGAGCUUGCUUUCUCAAGCGAGUGGCGAACGGGUGAGUAACGCGUGAGGAACCUGCCUCAAAGAGGGGGACAACAGUUGGAAACGACUGCUAAUACCGCAUAAGCCCACAGGUCGGCAUCGACCAGAGGGAAAAGGAGCAAUCCGCUUUGAGAUGGCCUCGCGUCCGAUUAGCUAGUUGGUGAGGUAACGGCCCACCAAGGCAACGAUCGGUAGCCGGACUGAGAGGUUGAACGGCCACAUUGGGACUGAGACACGGCCCAGACUCCUACGGGAGGCAGCAGUGGGGAAUAUUGCACAAUGGGGGAAACCCUGAUGCAGCGACGCCGCGUGGAGGAAGAAGGUCUUCGGAUUGUAAACUCCUGUUGUGGAGGAAGAUAAUGACGGUACUCAACAAGGAAGUGACGGCUAACUACGUG
rnacentral:rRNA from 1 species